rnacentral:lncRNA from 1 species
AGUCUUUGCUGCUGGUGUGUGAUGCCUGUAGGGGUCAGGUCCAGAAUCCACUUGGGCUGCAAUUACUUCUACCCAGAAGGACACGAAGCCUUUAUUGCUGAAGGAGACUACUUCUGUAACACCAAUAAAAGUGUGUGGAGCUUUAUGAAUUCUAAAAUUGGAUUAUGGAUUGACUUUCUUUCUGUAAUAGUGUUUGGCCUUUGGUUCCUUGAUCUUAAGAUGCACUCACAGGAGCUGCAGAGGCUACAGUUUUUGCUUCAGUAUCUGCAUCUGGGAUGGCUGGGCACAGCUGUACCCUGCGAUGUGCAGGCAGCUCCUUCCCCCCUCCCUGCUGCUCAGCACGUGCAUGAUCAUGGCUUAAAAGCAGGCACACAGCUGUGGCUGCAGGCAAGAGAGCUGACUGUUAUGGGAUUCUUCCAAGUUCAUGGCUUUGGCUGAUGUGACUGUUGAGACCAUAAUGGAAAUCAAGUACUGAGCACACUGCUGGAGAUGCAGAACGUCAGUAAGCAUCUUUGCCUGGAAAAUGCAGGAAGGCACUCCGGCCAUUUGCAUGGCAUCCUCUGGCUGACUAAUUAAAGAGCUUGUUUGUUAGAGUCACCCUUUGAUUCAGAGGACGAGGGCUCCUGGUCAACAUCUCGUGUACAAAUGGGAGCAGUGCUGGAGCAAACAGGAUAGCUCGUUAAUGCCAGAAGGGAUUAAAGCAAGCGCUGGGGUUAAUUGCAGUGAAAUCCUUCUGAGGUGAGCUCUGCAUCAGUGAGAGGACUCCAGGACCAAGGAUUCCCUGUGGGGGCUGGGGCUGGUUUUAGGGGAUCUGUGCCUAUAACCUGAGUUGGAAUUAGCAUUGUUAAUGAGGCUUGUUUUUAAUAGCCAGGUGAUGCGUGGAUUUAAUGUUCAGUAUGUAUGUGUUCAAGUGAGAUGUUGUUGUGCCAUGUUUUGACAUGUUCCUAUCAGAGCCACGAGCUCUUGGGAUCUUAAUUCAGUCCUGAGCAGGUGACUGAUAUUGCUAGUAAAAAUCAGCUGUUGACUGAUCAAAUUAAAAUUAAUAAAUU